AGUCAUAGUCAUGGCCAACAAAACAAGCUCAACCCUUUUUUUUCUACCAACAGAACAAACUGAAAAGCUAUAUAGACAUGAACUAGUAUGAUGUCCAAAGUGGUCGAAACCACCUGGACUGUAAAGAGGACUGGUAAGAGACCAAAAUCAACAACACCACCACCAACGCAGCCACCCCCCAAGGCGAACUCCCGGCUCGAUGAAUGGAGUUGUGCCCCAGUUUCGGCAGCCGAAUCACGAACUUCCCAUGGACAGAAAUCGUCCGCGCUAAUAAGAAGAGGAUGACGGGCAACAAGAAGAGAAAUAGUCUGAGGCUGAUCACCGUCCUAUGCACCUGCACCUUGUAGUCCAAGUAAGACGAAAGAGAUAAAAGAAGAAAGACAAUGAUAAAGAUGCCAAGCAAAGGCAUAGGGGGUGGUGAUACGGAGGCUAGGGCUUGGUCUUUCCACCCUGGACCUCUUCUUUCCCCGAACAACCAACCCAUUUCUGUCUCUCAGUUUUUUCUGUGUCUCUCAACUCUGAGGAUGGAACGGAACUUUGAUUAUAUAGGAGAAGUGAUUGAGGGUUCUAGGCUUCUAGCGCUAAUUUGCUUUGGCAUAAAUGCUGAGGUAUGGAUUCUAUCUCCAACCGACCUUGCUUUUGGAUUGAUACCAAAAUCAAAAUAAUUCUGUUUUAAAAUUUUUUAAAUGUAUAUGCAGGCCAAGAAUAUAUUCUAGCUUUUUCCAUGCAAACUUUCUCGAUCCUUAGCGUUAACUGUUCACACGCUGCAUUUCGUGGUCUUUCAAAUCUGGCUCUUCAUUUUCUAGGCUCUUCCACACUGACAGCUGUCCUGAAUCCUGACACUCAUCGAGCUAACUAUCCCUUUUUUCCUCCACAAAAGUCGGGUUAAAUUUGUACGUGCCAUACGGAGGAAAUGACACGUGGCAAUUAGGAAGACUAGGUACUGUUUCUUUGAAUCAGGGUUUAUGGGGAACUCGGGUUGGCUUUCACCAAUUAAAGCUUGACACGUAUCAUGGGAAUAAUAUAUCUAAGAAUUAGCCACGUUAGUAAAUCAUGUAGUUA
rnacentral:lncRNA from 1 species